AUGUGCAUAUACUACUCCACGGUCAUUUAUCGUCGAUUUGUUGUUGCUUUUUCCUGUCUUGCUUUGUGGUCUAUUAUUUUUGCCAUUAUAUCUGUGUAACAUAAACUACAAUUCGGUGAAAUAAACAGGGUCGCUCUAAACCUAAAUAUUGCCAAAAUUUCUCAUGCUGCAGCCUCUUUUGGUAGGAAUUAUUGCAUAUAAACCGGUUAUUUUACUCAUGCGUGUUCUUUAUAUGGACAUUUGAGGCCAAGAGUUCAUUCUCUUGACUUGUACGGGAGAAAAUUUAAUUCCACGAGAGAUUGAACAAAAGACUGUUGAAUUA